GUGCUGAGGUGCUAACGUGUGGAGGACCAGCGGAUCCGGUUUCCAUCACUGAUUUUGCGAUGGAAAACGAUCGGUUGAGGAAAUUAAGAAAAAAACUGAGGUGUCUCCAAAAAGAGGGAGAACGAUCGAGACUUCCUCUUCUGUCAUCUACCACCGAAGAACGGAGACGUG